rnacentral:piRNA from 1 species
UCGUAAGUCAAUAAAACCAGAAAUGUU